UACGUAGGGUGCGAGCGUUGCCCGGAUUUAUUGGGCGUAAAGGGCGCGCAGGCGGCUCGGCACGUCCGUUGUGAAAUCGCCCGGCUCAACUGGGCGGGGUCAGCGGAUACGGUCGAGCUUGAGCAAGCUAGGGGGUAAUGGAAUUCCCGGUGUAGUGGUGGAAUGCGUAGAUAUCGGGAGGAACACCAGUGGCGAAGGCGGUUACCUGGAGCUUUGCUGACGCUGAGGCGCGAAAGCGUGGGGAGCGAGUCCGG
rnacentral:rRNA from 1 species